rnacentral:rRNA from 1 species
AUUGAACGCUGGCGGCAUGCUUUACACAUGCAAGUCGAACGAGUGGCGGACGGGUGAGUAAUGUAUGGGAAACUGCCCGAUGGAGGGGGAUAACUACUGGAAAGGGUAGCUAAUACCGCAUACCAUCGGAUGUGCCCAGAUGGGAUUAGCUAGUAGGUGGGGUAAAGGCUCACCUAGGCGACGAUCCCUGGCUGGUCUGAGAGGAUGACCAGCCAAACUGGAACUGAUACACGGUCCAGACUCCUACGGGAGGCAGCAGUGGGGAAUAUUGCACAAUGGGCGAAAGCCUGAUGCAGCCAUGCCGCGUGUAUGAAGAAGGCCUUCGGGUUGUAAAGUACUUUCAGCGGGGAGGCGUUACUCGCAGAAGAAGCACCGGCUAACUCCGUGCCAGCAGCCGCGGUAAUAC